AGAAAAUCCCCUUCAACGAGGAGUCGCCGAGAGACGGAUGCAGUCUUGCUGUGGUUUGGCCAGAAAUUAUGGGGUUUCCGACGUUUGCUCUGUUUUACUUUCCGGACUCUGACUUGGCUGAGGUGGACAUAUUAGAAAAUCAUAACAGAGAGAGGAAUAUCAGGCCAAGUUCCUCGACCAACUUAAAGGGGAAGUGAACUAGGCUGAGGUGUUCCCCCCGAGAGAAGAAGCACGAGCGGACUGAUCACAUGUGCAUCCCAAAGGACAGCUGCUAUGGGAGAAAAUCCUAACGUCAUAACGCUGUGGUUUUGAUAUCAUCACUGUCUGAGGUAUCCAUGCACGGCUCAUAACGUUGUCCUGGAGAGUGACGGUGAACAAGAAGAUGUAAAUGAAGAUGACCUUUGUCCCCCCCCACCCAUGUUGAUGUUGAGCUUGACCAAGAUGUUGUCAAUGCUUUGAAAGAUGCUGCGACGCUUUGCAGUUACCAAACACAACAGUGUCUGACGUGCGAGCCCUCAUUCACAGAAAAUGCAACAACGAGGCCUGCUCAAAGAAGACAGACUCUUACCUUGAAGGAUAAAUUCUGAAAUGUUUUAGUUUAAAUGUUAGUUUCAUUUAUAUUGUAUGCUUAAUGCAAGUUUUAAAGGAAUGCACCUUGAUAAUUUCUGUUUGCGAUUUUUGAAAUGUACUCAGGAUAAAAGUUUUCAAGUGUCCUGAAUGUGUCUUAAAAUAAUUUUUUAUUAUGCAUUUUUAUGUAGCAGCGUAUAUUAAUACCUGGCUCUUGCAGUAUACUAACAGUACAUUUCUUAUAAUCUGAUCUGCUAAAAACAUAUUUGGGAAAUACAUUUAUGUGAUGCUUAAAAUUAAUUUAAACAGUUCUUCAAAUAUAGCACAAAGUACAUUUUAAGUGAAAUGCAAGUAAGAAUAUUUAAAUUACAGUAAACAUACUUUUAGUUGUUCCAUUUUAACACAACAAAGUAUAUUAAUAUAUAAUGCUGCAUAUGAAAGUUGAGUACUUGAAGUUGCUUGAAGAUAACACAUUUAAUAUACAUAGUAUAGUAUAAUUAAAAUGUGAUAGGUACAAUUAAGUACAACUUGAGCAUACUUAAUUUUCACCAAAUAAAUAUAUAAAUAAAUUAACAACAAUAAUAGGAAGGAUGCCACCAUUGAAAGAAGAUGCAUUUUUGAAAUAAUCGUUUCGGAAUUCAGAAAAAUGCGUAAUGUUUUUUAAUUUUUAAUUAAAAAAAAUUAUCCAUUCAUUCGUCAAUAUAUUCACCCAUUCAACCAUCCAUUUUCAGUGAGAUAUCCUUCAUCCUCUAAUUUAUAUUAUUUGAUCAGGUUCAGGAAAAAGAAAUGGUGUUGAAAAAAUUAACACUCACCAAAGUCGACAUCUGCGAGUUAUAUCCUGAUAGUUGCUCUUCCACCUUUGUUGUAUCUGCGCCAAGUCCAUCAACACUGACUAAACUUUGAUUAUUCGGUUGCAUGCCGCUCUUUCUGGAG